GGCUACUCUACAUAUGAGGUGAAGGCCUGAGAGCAUAGCAAACAGAGCAUAGCGGACAGGGAUAGCAAACAGGACGUAGGAGUUUAGCAGGAGUUUAGCGGGAAGUGUGCGGGGGAGCCUGGAACAAGCCCCUGAGAUCACAAGGAGCCUGGUGGAGAAGAGAACGAACACAGAAACAUAGUGCAAAGCUCUUGAGGUGAUUUCCUGGAGGAGAUAUUUGGAGAGAUGCUGGUUUGUCAAGUAAAUGAGAAAACGGAAAGGCAGCUGCUGGCAGAGGGAAGCCUGCCCUUGGCCAAAACUGUAGAACUGGCAGGAACAAAGGAAGCAGCAGUUAGAACCCUGCAGGAUCCACAUCGGAAAAGAAGGAAAUUCAGACAGAUGCGAGAAAUCAAGUAGGGAGCUCACGAGGAAAGGUUCAAGCCUCAGACAGGGGCUCUCACUGUGGAGGAGCCUCCUUUCAUUCAUCUUCCUUUGAUAAGAAAAACAUGUGAAGUCUAAGAACAGGGCCCUGAGUCAGAAAAUAUCAAGGGGCUCUCAGUAACAUGCCACCGAGCGAGAGAGAUCCUCUCCAUGCCAGAGAAAAUGGAAGGAUAAGAAUUGUAGUAGCUGGAGUUUGCAGUGUGAAGUCAAAAAGCAAACAUUUAUCAUGGACCCCCAGUGGAAGAAUGGAACAGGCAGAAAAAUAUAUGAAAGGCCAGCAGAAAUAUUUUCAUGUUUCUUGGGACAUGAAACAAAUUAGAUCCUCACUGUUUUCACUUUCUAAACAUCAUAUUAAAGUAACACAUAUGUGACAGCUACUUCCAUGAAUGACCAUCUCCAACGUUACACUUUUACAACAUUUUUAGCAUUACACUCGCCAACUAAAUUUAAGUUGAGGGGCGGUCUUACAGAAUUCCAGUUGAAUUGUGCGGCACCAGAACUGGAUGUUGCCAAUGCACCAUCUGGUCUUGUGAUAUUGGAUGGUUUUCAGACUGUAUUGCCUGAGGUGGUGGACAGGCUGCUUGGAAGGCUGAGGCCUACCACAUGCGUCCUCAACCCUUGCCAUGGGUCCAUG